GUGGGGAAUCUUGCGCAAUGGGCGAAAGCCUGACGCAGCCAUGCCGCGUGGAUGAUGAAGGUCUUAGGAUUGUAAAAUCCUUUCACCGGUGAAGAUAAUGACUGUAGCCGGAGAAGAAGCCCCGGCUAACUUCGUGCCAGCAGCCGCGGUAAUACGAAGGGGGCUAGCGUUGCUCGGAUUUACUGGGCGUAAAGGGCGCGUAGGCGGACAUUUAAGUCAGGGGUGAAAUCCCGGGGCUCAACCUCGGAACUGCCUUUGAUACUGGGUGUCUUGAGUAUGAGAGAGGUGUGUGGAACUCCGAGUGUAGAGGUGAAAUUCGUAGAUAUUCGGGAGAACACCAGUGGCGAAGGCGACACACUGGCUCAUUACUGACGCUGAGGCGCGAAAGUGUGGGGAGCAAACAGGAUUAGAAACCCCGGUAGUCC
rnacentral:rRNA from 1 species